AUUGAACGCUGGCGGCAGGCCUAACACAUGCAAGUCGAACGGUAACAGGAAGAAGCUUGCUUCUUUGCUGACGAGUGGCGGACGGGUGAGUAAUGUCUGGGAAACUGCCUGAUGGAGGGGGAUAACUACUGGAAACGGUAGCUAAUACCGCAUAACGUCGCAAGACCAAAGAGGGGGACCUUCGGGCCUCUUGCCAUCGGAUGUGCCCAGAUGGGAUUAGCUAGUAGGUGGGGUAACGGCUCACCUAGGCGACGAUCCCUAGCUGGUCUGAGAGGAUGACCAGCCACACUGGAACUGAGACACGGUCCAGACUCUACGGGAGCAGCAGUGGGAAUAUUGCACAAUGGGCGCAAGCCUGAUGCAGCCAUGCCGCGUGUAUGAAGAAGGCCUGG
rnacentral:rRNA from 1 species